GCGUUGUCCGGAUUUACUGGGCGUAAAGAGCUCGUAGGUGGUGUGUCGCGUCGUCUGUGAAAUUCCGGGGCUUAACUCCGGGCGUGCAGGCGAUACGGGCACGACUAGAGUGCUGUAGGGGUAACUGGAAUUCCUGGUGUAGCGGUGAAAUGCGCAGAUAUCAGGAGGAACACCGAUGGCGAAGGCAGGUUACUGGGCAGUUACUGACGCUGAGGAGCGAAAGCAU
rnacentral:rRNA from 1 species